GAUGAACGCUAGCUACAGGCUUAACACAUGCAAGUCGCGGGGCAGCAUGGGGGUUGCUUGCAAUCCCCGAUGGCGACCGGCGCACGGGUGAGUAACGCGUAUCCAACCUGCCCUUCACCACGGGAUAACCCGGCGAAAGUCGGACUAAUACCGUAUGUUGUCCAUUGACGGCAUCCGAUUUGGACGAAAGGUUUGGCGGUGAAGGAUGGGGAUGCGUCCGAUUAGCUGGACGGGGGGGUGACGGCCCACCGGGGCGACGAUCGGUAGGGGUUCUGAGAGGAAGGUCCCCCACACUGGAACUGAGACACGGUCCAGACUCCUACGGGAGGCAGCAGUGAGGAAUAUUGGUCAAUGGGCGUAAGCCUGAACCAGCCAAGUAGCGUGCAGGAUGACGGCCCUAGGGGUUGUAAACUGCUUUUAUGCGGGGAUAAAGUGGCCCACGUGUGGGUUUUUGCAGGUACCGCAUGAAUAAGGACCGGCUAAUUCCGUG
rnacentral:rRNA from 1 species